CAAAUUAUCCACUCCUGACCUGGGGAGGUAGUGAUAAAAAAUUAGCAAUACAGGACUCUUUCAAUGCUCUGUAAUAGGAAUGAGUUGUUUAAAUCCUUUAAUGAGGAUCCAUU
rnacentral:rRNA from 1 species